CCCUGGCUCAGGACGAACGCGGGCGGCGUGCCUAAUACAUGCAAGUCGAGCGAAUCUUUAGGAGCUUGCUCCUGAAGUUUAGCGGCGGACGGGUGAGUAACACGUGGGCAACCUGCCUGUAAGACUGGGAUAACUUCGGGAAACCGGAGCUAAUACCGGAUAAUCCUUUUCCUCUCAUGAGGAAAAGCUGAAAGUCGGUUUACGCUGACACUUACAGAUGGGCCCGCGGCGCAUUAGCUAGUUGGUGAGGUAACGGCUCACCAAGGCGACGAUGCGUAGCCGACCUGAGAGGGUGAUCGGCCACACUGGGACUGAGACACGGCCCAGACUCCUACGGGAGGCAGCAGUAGGGAAUCUUCCGCAAUGGACGAAAGUCUGACGGAGCAACGCCGCGUGAGCGAUGAAGGCCUUCGGGUCGUAAAGCUCUGUUGUUAGGGAAGAACAAGUACCGGAGUAACUGCCCGGUACCUUGACGGUACCUAACCAGAAAGCCACGGCUAACUA
rnacentral:rRNA from 1 species